rnacentral:rRNA from 1 species
UAUAACGGAAGGCUUCGGCCGGAAGAUAUAUGUUUUAGCGGCGGACGGGUGAGUAACGCGUGAGCAACCUGUCCUUCACAGGGGGAUAAGAUACCGAAAGGUGUUCUAAUACCGCAUAAGACCACAGAGCCGCAUGGCAGAGGGGUCAAAGGAGCAAUCCGGUGAAGGGUGGGCUCGCGUCCGAUUAGAUAGUUGGUGAGGUAACGGCCCACCAAGUCGACGAUCGGUAGCCGACCUGAGAGGGUGAUCGGCCACAUUGGGACUGAGACACGGCCCAGACUCCUACGGGAGGCAGCAGUGGGGAAUAUUGGGCAAUGGGGGAAACCCUGACCCAGCAACGCCGCGUGGAGGAAGAAGGUCUUCGGAUCGUAAACUCCUGCCCUAAGAGACGAGCAGGAGACGGUAUCUUAGGAGGAAGCCCCGGCUAACUACGUGCCAGCAGCCGCGGUAAUACGUAGGGGGCAAGCGUUGUCCGGAAUGAUUGGGCGUAAAGGGCGCGUAGGCGGCCCUGCAAGUCUGGAGUGAAAUUCCCGAUUUUAAGUUGGGAACUGCUUUGGAAACUGCAGAGCUUGAGUGCAGGAGAGGUCAGUGGAAUUCCCAGUGUAGCGGUGAAAUGCGUAGAGAUUGGGAGGAACACCAGUGGCGAA